AUGGCUCCCAAGGAGAGCAGCAAGCUAACCAUGAAGCUCUUGGUGGAGUCCAAGACCCAGCGCGUUCUGUACGCUGAGGCCGGCAAGGACGUCGUCAACUUCCUCUUCUCCCUCCUCACCUUGCCGGUGGGCACGGUUGUCAAGCUUCUCACCACGGAGACCAUGGUCGGCAGCGUCGGCAACCUGUACGGCAGCGUGGAGAAGCUCGACGACACCUACAUCGGCCGUGAGGACGCCAGGAAGGACCUGCUCACCCCUGCUGCUGGUUGGGUAUAUGGCACUACCUGUCAAAGUUGCGGCAAUGCGAUGACGUUGAAGCUGGUGGAGGUCGUGGAUCCGGCAGCUGCCUCCGUUGGUGGAGCGGCGUCUGCUGCUGCUACAGGCGCGGGGUUCGUGCAGGGGAUCGUGACGUACACGGUGAUGGACGACCUGAAGGUGUCGCCCAUGUCUUCCAUCUCGGGGAUCACCCUCCUCAACACGUUUGGGGUAACUGACAUCGGCUCGCUCCAGGAGAGGACGGUGCAGCUUGGCUAUGAUGAGGGAUUGGAGAUACUGAAGGCGUCUCUUCAGUCAAAGACGGUUCUCACUGCCGUAUUCCUUGCCAAGAAGCGGAAGGUGUAA
rnacentral:rRNA from 1 species